GAAGAACAAAUAUAAUACUUUAUUUAAAUUUAUUAAAAACAACGAAGUCCACCAUUGGAUCAAGUUGGUUUGAAGAACUAUGACUCUUACUUGUUUUGAUGAUAACAACAUUAUUUUGUGGGAACAAUUUAAAAUACUAAUGUUCUGUUUUAGUGUGUAGUUUUCAAAACAAAUUAUUCCUUAUGAGUUCAGGCUACAUCCUUUGAUUUUUUAUCUGAGUUAAAUGAACACCAAGACUCCAUUUUUUAUUCACGUAUUUUGAAUCUAGCGAACGCGCCUUUGGUGACUUUGCAAGUGAUUGUCUGCCUCUAAUAAUCACAACAAACAUAUGAUCUCUAUGCCUCUAGUUAUCACAACAAGCAUUUGAUUAUCUGACUCUGAUAAGUCAACACUCUGAAUAGUUAACACUAUGAUAAGUCAACACUUUGAAAAAUCAAUGAACUGAAGAAGACAAAGUUUUUGCGCAUUCUCUACUAAACACCCGUAAGGUCUAUGCGACAUACUCCAAUCACAAUAUCCUCCGCUCCUUUUGUAUACAUAUCUAGAUUCACAUAAUCAAUUACAAGGAUAUAUUUAACAAGGUUUAAUGGCGAAGCAAUCUAAAAAGAUUUGGUACGAAACUUCAUGAUACAUGUCGAUUUCCUGCAAUCAAGAUAACAACUAGAAAACUUAAAAAUUUCUAUAAAAGAACGUGCAACUUUCACUGAAAAGUACAAACGACUACGUACCACAAUAAGCACUAUACAACCAUCUCUGCACUUUUUCUCGUUAACUUUUAUCUUGUCUAAGUAUUGUGAAAUAUUUUAUGAGAGUACAACAUUUUAAACAUCCUCUUGUAAAAGUUAUUCAGAAAACCCUUUAACCGUUCUUUUUGUAGCCUAACCCAGUAGUGGUUGCAUCCCUCGAUAGCCUGAUUGUACUGAUUUAGAAGGUUAAAAAGACUUGAACACAAUCAGUUUGACUAGUAGGUGUUCAAUGGAAGUGUAAUUCAUCUGGUGGAUUAGUGGAUUAAGUUCUUCAGGUUGAAGGAACUAGACGAACUACCGUUUUUGUGGUGAACCAAAAAAAAUCGGUUGUGUCGCUUUGUUUUUAUUUGAUCUUUUGUUUCAUCAUUUUCUAAUAAAACUGUUUUAAAAUAGCACACAAUUCAAACUCCCUAUUUCUUGUGUUUUUCGUUCCUCAAAUUAUUAUCAAAUACAUAUAGUUUUUAACAUAAAAUAUGCGCAAAAAAAUAGCCAUUAAUUGUUUUAAUACACCUAAAAUGAAAUAAAAUAUUGUUGAAUAAAAACUAACAAUUACAUAAGCAUUGCAAAGUUCAUAGCAAUCAAAGCACAAUAGAAUUAUAAGAAAAUUAGUUAUACAUGUAUUUAACAAUCUGAACAUGUACUAAUACCUGAAGUAGAAAUGCCAAUCACAAAGAAAUGAGGUUUAAAUUGUGAUCCCUUUUUAAAAUCUUAAUUCCUGAAUCUAAUUCAAAUUAAUUCAAGAUCAAUCUUAGUUUCAAACAAAAAGUCCAUAAUGUUUUUGGUGAGUUAAAGAUAAAUAAAGCAUAUUAUUUCUAGGUGAUAUGUGUUCACUGAGUGAAAAAUAAAUAAGGAUAAGGAUAAGAAGAUCACAUAAUGAUGUAUUCUUGUUCACCCUAUGAAGGCUACGUCCAAUUCUCACAAUUUGUGAGAUUUUCCACUAGUGUGCUUAGCACCAGAAUAUUUUUGCUUUCACACUAUCUUUCUUGAUCAGUUUCAGAAUUCACCUUUCAACCUUGAAAUAUUUUUACAGUCACCUUUCAGUCCAAAAAUAAUUUUUACAAUUUACCGUUUAAUAUCUAAAAAGCUUUUUACAACCUACUCAAACUAUCUUAAGAGAUAGACUUGGGUUAUAAAUGAUGUGUACGAUAAAAUAGUUUAGGAGUAAAAUCUAAUCAACACUUGUUUGAGAUUGAUUAUUAGUAAUAACUCAAUAAAGUGGUCUUUGAAUAUAAUAAGAGAGAGCUAAAGUUUUGCUUAAGAGAGAAUAGCUUUAAAACUCUUGCAUUUUUCUUCUCCUUGGUUGUUCCUUUUAUGGUUCAGAUUGAAGUCUAUUAAACACAUGUGCUAUUUGGUCCAAAAUGUUUCUCUAUAAAACCGAAACGUUCUUGGUUCUGUUUUUUUAUGGAAAACGUGGAUGAAUAAUUGAAUGGUUGUGGAAUGCCAGUAUUUUGAUUCAGAAGCAUGCAUAUCAUUUUGCAAAAAGGAUGCAACAAUAGUGUGCUCAUGUCCUUGUUAUCCUUGCUCACAACUCGUCAAUCUGGAGAUCAAUCUAAUCAUUGAUCUGAAGACUAUUUUGAGCAUAAAAUCAUGGGAACCAAACAGUGUAUCAAAAUGUUCAUUUAAGAAAAUUCUGCAAACAUACACUUAAACAAGAGAAUAUGCAAUUGAAAUGGAAAUAGUCAUUAUAUAUUAAAACAUAAAUAACAAUCAGUCAUUGAAGUCAUUACAUAAGAAAUUAAAAUUUCCUUAAGACCGAUGAUACAAGCACAUGGAGACAUACUUUACGUUUUUCCUUAACCUACACCAUUCGUCUAGAAAACAAGUGAGGUCUCUUAAAAUUUGAAAAUCCUCAUUUUCGUUAAAUAACCUCUUAAAAUCUAAGAGUAGGAGUCAAAGUAGAACCUACUCCAAACAAAUACUGCCUAAUCCAACUUAAUUUUCCAAAAACAGUAAGUCAAAGUCGUAAUUCUAAACACUUGGAACCCUAAACACAAUCUUAAAGUCCAAAUUCCAAAUGUAAAUUACCAAUGUUUGUGAAGUACAAAAAAGGAUUGAAGAUUACCAUGUGAAAAUAGAUCCUUUAAACCAAAGCUUGCUCGAUAAUACAUCAUUUGUUGAUGAAUCCCGAUUUUAGAGAUGAAGGUGAGAGAAAUCUAAAAUUGGUGAUGGAGAUGAUGAAUGAGAUGAGUGGGUGAAGAUUAGGGUAGGAGAAAUUUGAGAGAACUUAUUGAUUGAAGGAUGAUUGUGGAGGUUAGAUUUCUUAAGAAUGAGAGAAAAGUUGAUAAAAAAUGAGUGAAAUGGGACAAAAAUAAGAGUUAGUUGCGUGUUUUAAAAUGACAACUAAAUAACUGUGCACUUGUUACUAAGUUCUACUGACGCGAUUCCAAUCAAGCUAUGCAAGUGAUUCAAAUUACACAGUUCGUGAUUCAAAUCUCCAUGUUGUCCUUUAAAAAACUUGAGACAAGUGGUUGAUAAGUGCUCAAUUACCAUAUAUUUGAUAUAUUGUUAAACCAC
rnacentral:lncRNA from 1 species